UUAAGAACCUAAACAUGAAAAAGGUAAAUCAUAACAAGCCAAAGCAUUAGAGGUUUUAAAAACGUGGUCUAAGUCUUACACACCUCAGGAGCAACAUAGUUUGGAGUUCCACAAGUCGUGUGAAGGAGACCAUCAUCCUGAAAUAUUACCCUUGAGAUCAAGAAAUAUAACCCAGUUCUUUUCAAGCCAUAAAACCAUCCAAUGAAAUUUCUCGUACCAAAAUACUGCAUGCAAACACACCCAGAAGAUCAAGUUGAGGUAACUGAAAACGAAAGAAAGGUGGGUGUGGGGGUAUAGAGAGAGAGAAAGAGACAGAAGAAGAAGGUGAACAAUGUGGGCAUUUCAGAAGUCACAUAUUAUGAUUACCCUGACUUGUUGGGAAAGAGCACUCAAUCCAAAAUCAGAAACUUUGAGGUUUCCAUAAGCAUCCAACAGCAAGUUUUCAGGCUGCAAAGAAACCAAUAAAAGAAACAAAAAGGAGAAGCUUACAGUGAGCGAGCAUAAUAAAUACAUUGAAAAUGAAGAACGAGAAACAGUUGUCUUCAAGGGGUUAAUUACCUUAAGAUCCCUGUGGAAGACACCUCUGCUAUGGCAAUAAUCAACAGCAUUAAUAAGC